GAGCAGUGGAGGAGCAGGAGGCUGUGGAGGAGCAGCUCUGUGCAGCCUCCUGCCCUGGCCCCGAGCUGUGGAGCCGCUGCGGUCGGCACAGUGCCCGGGCAAAUGGGGCUGGCUCUGCAGCCCAGUGCCAUUCAGCAGCUCCCAAACCAGACCUGACUUGCUCCCUGCCAGCUCCAGAGCAGCCUGAGCAGGGUGGAUAGACAUGCCCUGAGGAUAUGUCUGCAUUGCAGUGCAGAGACAUUUCUUCAGCCUUUGGAAAUCCAGUGUCCCAAGCAAAAUUAAACUGGCAGAGAAAACUGAAGCAAGAAGGGAAUUGUGUGCCCUCAGAGAGAAAAUUAAAAAGUUUUUUUAACUGGAAUUGUGUGUGACAAGUGUGACAAGGCUUGGCUAUUAAAAGGCUGUGUUGCAAGAU